rnacentral:rRNA from 1 species
UACGUAGGGUGCAAGCGUUGUCCGGAAUUAUUGGGCGUAAAGAGCUCGUAGGCGGUCUGUCGCGUCGGAUGUGAAAACCCAGGGCUCAACCCUGGGCCUGCAUUCGAUACGGGCAGACUAGAGUUCGGUAGGGGAGACUGGAAUUCCUGGUGGUAGCGGUGAAAUGCGCAGAUAUCAGGAGGAACACCGGUGGCGAAGGCGGGUCUCUGGGCCGAAACUGACGCUGAGGAGCGAAAGCGUGGGGAGCAAACAGG